rnacentral:misc_RNA from 1 species
UCACUAAUCCACUAUAUCAGAAGACCAAACUUGUGCAAUUUCUUUCAACUCACCCUGAUGAGAAUGGCCAUGUAGCAGAUGUAAUGCAAAGAGAGUUUGCAUAUUGAUUUCUUGUCUCAAACCAUUGAUGUGGUUUCUUGUCUCAAACCAUUGAUAUAGUAAAUACUUUUGGUGAAAAUGAAUCUGAAUCCCAUGAAGGAUGCAUUUGAUCACGUUUCAAAGAAGCAAAAGCUAUCUAGUUCUAAAGCUGAAGAAGUGAUCGACCAGAUCAUGCAAGAAAUUGGAAAGGCAAUGGAAAUAAUACAAUCUGGACACUAUAGCUCUAAAUUUAACUAUAAAUUUGUUCUCGGUGAGCUUAAUGAAAAGUUGCAAGAAAUUUUCCUAUCA